AUAUCGCCCGUAUAUUGACAUGUCGUCGCGGCAAAGUGAGACACGCAUCAUACCGGCACAGUCGGAGAGUUACAUUGAAGAAGCGAUGGAAAUUCCAACGGAGCGCACUCAUACUGUGGGAUAAUAAGUAGCUGUCCCGGCAAAAGGGUCAAAACUGUUCCGACGAAAAGGCAAAAACUGCUCUAGGUCAUAUCUUGACGCGGAGACGAACGUAUCGUGCUGGGAUCUUCGUGAGCAGUGGCGGCGACGUGAACUUCGAGAUACUUUUUGUUACAGAUUUGUCAGAGGCUGCAGUCGCACGAAGGGUGCGGCUCCCGGGAUGGUGCAAUCUAGGUGGACGCGAAUGGCGCAUCGGAGGAUCUGGGCCGAGCAAUGUCGGCUCAAAGAUGUGCGGCGUGAAACGUGGCCGAGUUUUUGAUCUUUGCGAAUCAGCGAGUCAGAAAAGUGAGUAGAGAGAAUGAUUUAAAAUUCUUUAUAAAAUUGGAAUUAUGAAACUCUCGUCCAACAUUACGAUUUAUUUGUAGAUUUUUGUAUAUAUGUGUUGUCCAACAAAUUACACUACUCCGAGCAGUCAGGGAAUUUUUUGUUUAAAUAUAUUGUUUAACAUGGCUAUUUACACGGCUGAACAAUUCGAUAUAUAUUUUUAAAGAUAUUUAGUUACAAUAUUUCUUCUUUUGAAAGAAAUUUAAAACAUU